GAAUGAGAACCGGUCCGCGUAAAGUGGACCGUAAACCUCCACCCUUGCCUAUGAUACAACUGUUGCUUUGGUGGGCCGCGAACCGUAAGGUGAGCACCGGCUUCGGCUGGAGAGUGCCUGCCAGAGGACCCAACUCUGAAAUUUAGUGACGUCUGAGUACUAUUUAAUAGUUA
rnacentral:misc_RNA from 1 species